GACGAACGCUGGCGGCGUGCUUAAUACAUGCAAGUCGAGCGGACCAAACAGGAGCUUGCUCUUGUUUGGUUAGCGGCGGACGGGUGAGUAACACGUGGGUAACCUGCCCGUAAGACCGGGAUAACUCCGGGAAACCGGAGCUAAUACCGGAUAACACCGAAGACCGCAUGGUCUUUGGUUGAAAGGCGGCUUCGGCUGCCACUUACGGAUGGGCCCGCGGCGCAUUAGCUAGUUGGUGAGGUAACGGCUCACCAAGGCGACGAUGCGUAGCCGGCCUGAGAGGGUGACCGGCCACACUGGGACUGAGACACGGCCCAGACUCCUACGGGAGGCAGCAGUAGGGAAUCUUCCGCAAUGGACGAAAGUCUGACGGAGCGACGCCGCGUGAGCGAAGAAGGUCUUCGGAUCGUAAAGCUCUGUUGUUAGGGAAGAAGAAGCGCCGUUCGAACAGGGCGGCGCGGUGACGGUACCUAACGAGAAAGCCCCGGCUAACUACGUG
rnacentral:rRNA from 1 species